AAAGAACAGACCCUAACUAGCAAGAAGAAAGGUAGUUUUCAUCCCCAAAAAAAAAAAAAGUCUUCUUUAAACGUCAGUUUAAGUUUACUGCGAUAUCAGUCUUCCACAAUUUUCCCUCCUCCCCUGUUUAUCCUCCGUCACCCUUGUUUUCCUCUCAAAAAACGCCUGCUUCUGCCGAAACCAUUAGAACCAGAAGCAGCAGAGCUCCAAUCUCUCUCUCUCUGUCAAACAAACACAAAGAAAUAUCCAUUUGCUCUUUCUUCCAUGUCCCAAUCAAUUGUUAAUCCAAAAACCCGUUUCAUUAACAUUAUCACAAUCCUAUACUUUAGAUAAAAUUCACACAUAUGCCCAUAAAAAUCCAACCUUUACUUAUCAAAUUAUGCUGACACCAACACUCAAAUACAUAACCAAAACUAGGCCUUUUCUCUCUCCUCUUCUUCUUUCAAACUCCUUAUCUACUACACCUUCUGCAAAUCUCCUCCCUAAUUCACCUAUAAUACGAUACAAAUUUGUAGACCCAUCUUCAGAAUCGAAAAAGAUUGCUUCUACUUUCAGUGAUUGGUUUAGAACCUCGAAAAACCCUAUUUUUGAGAAGAUUUUCCAGAUUUUAAAUACUCGAGGUGAUGAAGAUCUUGCCUCUUCUACAAAGUCUGAUGGGAGUCUUGCUCAAUUGGAAAUAAGAUUGACAGAAUCUUAUGUUUUGGAGGUACUUGAUUAUAAAAGAGAUGAUAUUUUAAGUUGUUUGAAAUUCUUUGAUUGGUGUGGUAGACAACCCUAUUUUAAUCAUACUCGAACUACUUGUGUUGCGCUUUUUAAGAUUUUGAGUCGUGCUAAGCUGACUUCUUUGAUGCUAGAUUUGUUAGAUAGUUUUAGUAAGCAGAAAAAUUUGCAUAGGGUUAGGUAUAAUGAUAUGCUUGUGAUGGGGUAUGCAUUAGCUGGAAAAGUUGAUGUUGCACUUCAGGUGUUUGGUAGAAUGCGCUUUCACGGCCUCGAUUUGGAUGAGUUUGCUUACCAUAUUCUUUUGAAUUCAUUGGUUGAGGAAGGUUGCUUCGAUGCGGUGAAUGUUGUGUUGGAGCAAAUUAGGAUGAGGGGGCACCAGAAUGAGGUCACUCAUAGUAUUGUGACCAAGAGUUUGUGUAAGCAGGGUCAGCUGGAAGAGGCGGAGAAGUACUUGCGGGGGUUGUUGGGUCAGGAGAAGGUGUUGCCAGGGCGUAUUCUUGGUGUGCUUGUGGAUGCCCUUUGUAAGGAUAAAAAGUUUUCCCAUGCUGGUAAGUUAAUCCAGGAGUUUGCGGAUGUUGGGACUUUCUCUAUGCAAGAGGCAUAUGGUGUUUGGAUUAAGAGUCUUGUGCAAGCUGGUAAAUUAGAUAGUGCCGUGGAAUUCUUGCACACUAAAAAAUCUGUUGAAGGGUAUAUUCCUGAAGUGUUCAGGUACAAUAUUUUGAUCUGUAGGCUUCUCAAGGAAAACCGCCUUGAAGAGGUUUCUGAUCUGUUGUUGGAUAUGAAAGAGAGCCAAAUUGUGCCUGAUAAGGUGACCAUGAAUGCUGUAAUGUGCUUCUUUUGCAAGGCUGGAAUGAUGGAUGUUGCACUCGAAUUGUAUGAUAGGAAGGCCGAGUUUGGGCUUACUCCACAUAGUUUGGUAUUUAAUUAUGUUAUAAACACUCUAUGUGGGGAUGGCAGCACCGAUGAAGCAUAUCGGAUACUGACGAACUCUAUGAAACAGGGUUAUUUUCCUGGCAAGAGGACCUUCUCUGUUCUUGCUGAUGCGUUGUGUAGGGAAAGUAAGCUUGAUAAAAUGAAGGACCUAGUUAUGUUUGCCUUGGAGCGUAAAUUCAUUCCUGCCGACUCUGCAUAUGAAAAAUUCAUUAGAGCCCUUUGCCGGGCUAAAAGGGUUGACGAUGGUUACUUGAUCCAUGGAGAACUGAACAGGCUAAAUAAGAAAACCAGUGAAAGUACAUAUUCGUACUUGAUAUGUGGCUUUAAUCAGGCAAGCAGGGGAGACCUUGCCGCUAGACUUCUAAUUGAAAUGCAAGAUAAAGGUCAUAAACCAUCAGACAGAUUGUUUAAAGAUGUUGUCUAUCGUGUAUGUGAAAUGGAUAGUCCUGGAAAGCACUUUGUGCAGUUGCUUGAGAUGCAAUUGUCUCGUUAUGGAUCUGACCAGCGCACUUUCAGUUACUUUAUCUAUGGGGCUGGGCAUGCCAGAAGGCCUGAGCUUGGAAGAGCAGUUUAUGAAAUGAUGGAGAGAUCUGGCAUUGCCCCUUGUUUGAGCUCAGACCUUCUUAUGCUGAGGUGUUACCUGAGAAGCGAAAAUAUAUUGGAUGCACUAAAGUUCUUUGAUGAUGUCAGCAAAAAAAGAAAGGUGGGAAGGAAGAUGUACAAUACUAUGGUGGUUGGACUUUGCAAAUCAGGGAAGACGAACCUUGCAUUGUCUAUGUUGAAGCAAGGAAGGUCCAAUGGAUUGGUCCCUAGCAUGCAAAGUUAUGAGGAGCUCAUAAGGCGGUGUUGCUCAGAUCAUAAUUAUGAUGAUGCUAUUAAAUUAAUUAACGACAUGGAGAAAGUUGGACGGAAGAUUUCAUCUUUUGUUGGCAAUAUAUUUUUGUUGCACUCAAUGCGUUCUACAGAUUUAUACAAGGCAUGGAAUCGUUCAAGAGAUGUAUCUACUGAGACAACUAGUACUGCAAUGCUUGGCCGUAUAAUUGCUGUUUUUUCUGGCUAUGUAGCGUUGGAUUUUACCGCUGAGGACUUGGAAGAAGUUAUUGGGAAGUGUUUUCGUCUUGAUAUCUUCUCUUACAACAUGAUGCUCAGAAUAUUGAGCAUCAACAAGAUGGAUGAAGCUUGCGAAUUGUUUAAACGGUUGUAUCACAAAGGAUAUCGACCAAAUAGAUUUACUUAUGACAUAGUUGUUCACGGUCUCUAUAAGCAUGGUAGAUCCGUUGAAGCUGAAAUUUGGGCAGACGAAAUGUUACGACGAGGACAUGUUCCAACAGAGUGCACUCAUGUGUUCAUUUGAAGAAAAAUUUACAUGGUCAGACACCAAAAAAGAACAGGGUGUGGAAAGUCCUAUUAGGACUUAGGAGACAAUCAAGGGCCAAAAAAAGCCAAGUUUCGAAUGAAAUGAGGUUUACACCCAUUUGACGAGAUAACUAUGUGGCGAAGGGAAUCUUUUGAUAUGCUCGAUUCUUGCUGUCUUGUGUAGGUAAUGCAGUAAUUUAGAUGCAGGAAAAUUUCGAAGCUCAGUUUCCCUUUGCCAGGAAGCUCUUUCGACGACUACUGGAUCGAACAGAUGUCUCUUUGGUAGAAGGUUGAUAACCUGUUAUUAUAACAUUGGACAAUGAUGCUCUCUCAAGUUCCCUUCUACAUCAACGAAAGUGGUACAUAAUUAUAUAAGCUAGCCCUUGUUUGCUAUGUACUAGUUGGAGUUGACAAUUGACAUGUUUUUGGAGUUCUGAUCAGCAUUCCUUAAAAUAACGUCUGAGGCUCUUCGACAGUGGUUGACCGAAUUAUACUCUAGUUUGGGACUUGGUAGCAGCGCUUGGCUGUCAGAACUCAGAUAAUCACCUUACCUGGUCAGCGAUGCUGACUAAGCUGUGUUAUCUUCUAAUGUUGGUGUCUGAUUAGUCUUUCUCAUCACAUUUCUUCCAAAUAAAUAGCUCUCUGAAGAUCAACACUGGAUAGGAAAGCACUUCUUCCAAUUAGUUCAACCUGUUAUUCAGAUUCAAGCUACUAAUUAAUGGUAAACUAUUCAGAAUGCUAUAUCUGGUAAAUGGGUCUGGAUUUUUGCUCCAUUGAGUGGACCGCUAUAACAAGCUUGCAGGGAGGCUAAUAGUUUUGGUGUAUUUUUAUCGUAGUAUCAUGAAUAUACAGGACAGCAGUAGAAGUCCUAUUCUUUGAAAUUUUUCCCUUUUUUUGUCGGAAGAAGAAAAUGAGCUAAAAUAGUGUCAUUGAAAAUAAAAGGAAGAAUGAUAUAUCUUCAAGCUCUUGUUGUAAUGAACAUUCUUUUUGUUUAUUUUUCUGCAAAUCUCAGGUUUCUGAUGUACUAUCAGUCUGUUUCCUUUGGAAGAUAAUGUGUAUUGUAUGAUGUA